AGCAUUAUACCGUGAAACUGCGAAUGGCUCAUUAAAUCAGUUAUCGUUUAUUUGAUAGUACCUUACUACUUGGAUAACCGUGGUAAUUCUAGAGCUAAUACAUGCUAAAAACCCCAACUUCGGGAGGGGUGUAUUUAUUAGAUAAAAAACCAACGCCCUUCGGGGCUUCUUGGUGAUUCAUGAUAACUUUACGGAUCGCAUGGCCUUGCGCCGGCGACGGUUCAUUCAAAUUUCUGCCCUAUCAACUUUCGAUGGUAAGGUAUUGGCUUACCAUGGUUUCAACGGGUAACGGGGAAUUAGGGUUCGAUUCCGGAGAGGGAGCCUGAGAAACGGCUACCACAUCCAAGGAAGGCAGCAGGCGCGCAAAUUACCCAAUCCCGACACGGGGAGGUAGUGACAAUAAAUACUGAUACAGGGCUCUUUUGGGUCUUGUAAUUGGAAUGAGUACAAUUUAAACCUCUUAACGAGGAACAAUUGGAGGGCAAGUCUGGUGCCAGCAGCCGCGGUAAUUCCAGCUCCAAUAGCGUAUAUUAAAGUUGUUGCAGUUAAAAAGCUCGUAGUUGAAACUUGGGUCUGGCUGGCAGGUCCGCCUCACCGCGUGUACUUGUCCGGCCGGGCCUUCCUUCUGGAGAACCUCAUGCCCUUCACUGGGCGUGUUGGGGACCAGGACUUUUACUUUGAAAAAAUUAGAGUGUUCAAAGCAGGCCUUUGCUCGAAUACGUUAGCAUGGAAUAAUAGAAUAGGACGUGCGGUCCUAUUUUGUUGGUUUCUAGGACCGCCGUAAUGAUUAAUAGGGACAGUCGGGGGCAUCAGUAUUCAAUUGUCAGAGGUGAAAUUCUUGGNAUUUAUUGAAGACUAACUACUGCGAAAGCAUUUGCCAAGGAUGUUUUCAUUAAUCAGUGAACGAAAGUUAGGGGAUCGAAGACGAUCAGAUACCGUCGUAGUCUUAACCGUAAACUAUGCCGACUAGGGAUCGGGCGAUGUUCUUUUUCUGACUCGCUCGGCACCUUACGAGAAAUCAAAGUUUUUGGGUUCUGGGGGGAG
rnacentral:rRNA from 1 species